rnacentral:lncRNA from 1 species
UUUUCAGUAGCUCAGGGCCUCAGAGUUUACUUCUUGUGGUUCUCUUGACUGUUCUCUUGUGGUUACAAAAUGGCUACUCACAUGGGUACUUCAUGUCUUCACACAGGAGUAUCUGCAAGCAGGAAGGAAAACAGGACUCAUCUCUCUCUCUUUUAAUUAGAGAAGAAAAUGUUGUCUGAAGUCUUCAGCAGCUCCUCAAGUCUCCUUGGCCAGAUCUGGAUAAGAGGAUUUCUAUAGCCUCUCUUGUUGUAGGUGGGAUGUCAUUAGAGCUUUCCUGGUUAGAAGAAGCUCUCAUCCACCCUGGUUGCCUAAGUUAUACAGAUGAGGACAGAGAUGAAGUAAUGCUGAAUGACUCACAGCUAGAGUCAAGAGCAGGAUACAAGUGUCCUGACACCCAAUCCAGUGCUCGUGGUGCUAUGCUAGAGGGUUCCCUGACUUCUCAGAGCCAGAAGUCAACCUCCUGCCUGCACCCCCUGGUGGACCCCUUUCCCGACACCAUGGGUGGUCACGCCCUAGUACCAGUCACCUCUGGAUGGAUCUACGGAGUGAGAAGAUUCUGUCUGUGCCCAUCUACCUGGAGGUGCUACCUGUCCAAAGACAAUCCAGAGGCCUUGGGAAGAAAUAGAUGGUUUCCAUCCCUGAAAUGACCACCAAGAAGGCACACCCAGGCAACUCCUCUCUCACCUUAGACCUACUGAGAAUCUCUGCUGGUUCUGCCACUUAAAAUGGACACUUCAGUGCAAGAAGAAUCUUCUGAGUCUGAUGUAAUUGGUAUGAUGAUUACAAGAAUGGUUUCAAAGUUUAUGUCUUGUCAAAACCAUUAAGUUGUACAAUUCUAAUGAUUGAAAUUUGCUAUAUGUAAGUCAUACUUGAAAAGCUUGCUAAAAAAUGAAAUAAAACUAAAACAAAGAGAAUCCUUUAUUUAGAGCCCC